AACUCUGAGGCGGUGGAUCACUCGGCUCUCGUGCGGUCGAUGAAGAGCGCAGCCACUGCGUGAAUUAGUGUGAAUGCAGGAUAUCAUUGAACAUCGACAUUUGAACGCAUAUUGCGCCUCAGGUCUCCCUGUGGCCACGCCUGGCCGAGGGUCG
rnacentral:rRNA from 1 species